GGCACGGUCUAUUCUAAGCGCUCAUUAAUAGCUGGUCUCUGAGGGCCCUGGCAGCAGCCAGAGGAUUUUACUCAUUAAAAAGGUGGCGAGGUAGAGUUUUGUGCCUUCCCGGCUUGUCGCUGUGUGAUCUUGGUGCUCAGACGUCGCCAGCAGGCCUCAAAUGAACGCCCCGAGAUUGCUGGCGCGGGAAACCUUUUUUGCCGGGUUUGAAAGCGCCACCCACCCAUGGAUGGGGCGAGAAGCCCUUGCUGUUUGUCAGAGACGCCUGGCUUGUCCCUGAUAGGAGUUGAGUUGGCCUGUAGAAAUGCAUCCUGUACAACCGCAAAUACAAGGGAAAUAAGGCAGAAAAUAAGUUCAAGUGAGGAAUCAUUGCUCAACAGGGAUCGGGCUUCUCCAGCCCCCAAGCACACCACGCUGUAAUCCUUCAUCAUCUUAUAAGGCGACAGUCCACAACUGCUUGGGGACCACAGAGCUUGUGUUUUCAUUCCCUUUGUUUCAGGAUGGUUUGUGACUUCUCAGGUGGAACUGCUGGUGAUAAAACUAACAUUUCACAAUUUUGCAACUGUGAAUUUAAUUUCUUUUGAACAUUAGGGGAUGUUUAAAAAGUAGCGUGAGUAUUAAAUUUGUACUUUAUGGGAGUUGGGAGGAGGAACAGGGAAAGUAGGAGCGGAGAAUUUCCUAAAACCAUAUGAAAGAAGGAUGGAAAACACUGUUGAGUUUUUGCUAGGAAAACUACUUUUUUCCCCCAGAUUGAAAUAUUGCUUUAAAGCAUUGGCAGACUUACAGAAAUGAAAUGAAAAACAAAUCCCACAAAAAUC
rnacentral:lncRNA from 1 species